ACAUCAAACCACCAUGCGGGUUAGUUCUCGGAGGGCUGCAUGCAGAUACGUUUACAGUCAGCUAUGGCACUUUGGUUCUUCGAUGAUGGACUUAAUUAUCAGGGAUUCCGGAUUAUUAUUUUCGGUCUAGGAUAUUCUUUCUCCAUAUCAGAAAGUGUCCAAAGUCUCAUUGAUUAAUAUGGACAUAAUGAUGCAAAGGGACAACAUUCCAACACCAUUUGAAAAUUCAGGGAGAAGUCAUCUUUUUCUAGAAAUUUCGGAUUUCCUGAAGUCAAUGGAUUAAAAUAAGGCAGGGGUGUCUAAAUAUUAAAUCCCAAAAAGUACAUCAUUAAAAAUAAUUUGGAAGUUCCCAUUGAGCCUAAUCUGAAUACAAUUGGAAAUGCAUUAUGAUGUGGAUUCAUAUGAGCUCGUGAAUAUGUUAUGGAUGAAGGGAAGCUGUUUCUGGACGACAAAACUAGUGUGGAAUAUGUUAAGCAAAUUUUGAGCCUUCGGAAACAAAUUUUUAAAUCAUGUAUCGAAACGAUAACCACUAGAUUCUUUUUUUGAAAUUUAGUUCGCCAAUAAAUGACUGUUAUUGACGAUGUGUUAUUAUAACUUACAAAUAAUAAAUUAAGUUAUUUACUGUAAUAAAGCCUAAUAUUUGUCAUUUAAAAAUAUUUUCCUUUUUUUUAUAAAAGGUCGAUCCUUGUUAAUAAAUUUCUUCUCAUAGUA
rnacentral:lncRNA from 1 species